GACGAACGCUGGCGGCGUGCUUAACACAUGCAAGUCGAACGGGGUCCAUCGAAAGCUUGCUUUUGAGAAGACCUAGUGGCGAACGGGUGAGUAACGCGUGGGCAACCUGCCCCGGAGAUUGGGAUAACUGGUGGAAACACCAGCUAAUACCGAAUAUCGUUCUCUGAUCGCAUGAUCGGAAAACUAAAUGUUCCGGCGCUCCGGGAUGGGCCCGCGUCCCAUUAGCUUGUUGGUAGGGUAACGGCCUACCAAGGCAACGAUGGGUAGCCGGCCUGAGAGGGUGAUCGGCCACACUGGGACUGAGACACGGCCCAGACUCCUACGGGAGGCAGCAGUGGGGAAUAUUGCGCAAUGGGCGAAAGCCUGACGCAGCAACGCCGCGUGGAGGAUGACGGUUUUCGGAUUGUAAACUCCUUUCAGCAGGGACGAAGCCGCAAGGUGACGGUACCUGCAGAAGAAGCCCCGGCUAACUACGUG
rnacentral:rRNA from 1 species